CAAGUCGAACGAGCUCAGUUUUGUAGCAAUACAGAGCUGAGCUAGUGGCGAACGGGUGCGUAACACGUGAGCAAUCUGCCUUAAAGUGGGGGAUAGCUCGCCGAAAGGCGAAUUAAUACCGCAUGUGGUUGUAAAACCAAAGCUGGGGCAACCUGGCGCUUUUAGAGGAGCUCGCGGCCUAUCAGCUUGUUGGUGAGGUAACGGCUCACCAAGGCUUCGACGGGUAGCUGGUCUGAGAGGACGACCAGCCACACUGGAACUGAGACACGGUCCAGACACCUACGGGUGGCAGCAGUCGUGAAUUUUUCUCAAUGGGGGAAACCCUGAAGGAGCGACGCCGCGUGGAGGAUGAAUGCUUUCGGGUUGUAAACUCCUGUCAUUUGGGAACAAAGCCUUACGUUAACUGCGUGGAGGUCUGAUAGUACCAGAAGAGGAAGAGACGGCUAACUCUGUGCCAGCAGCCGCGGUAAUACAGAGGUCUCAAGCGUUGUUCGGAUUCAUUGGGCGUAAAGGGCGCGUAGGCGGCGAGGUAAGUCGGGUGUGAAAUCUCAGAGCUCAACUCUGAAACUGCACUCGAUACUGCUUUGCUAGAGGACUGGAGAGGAGAUUGGAAUUCACGGUGUAGCAGUGAAAUGCGUAGAGAUCGUGAGGAAGACCAGUGGCGAAGGCGGAUCUCUGGACAGUUCCUGACGCUGAGGCGCGAAGGCCAGGGGAGCAAACGGGAUUAGAUACCCCGGUAGUCCUGGCAGUAAACGGUGCACGUUUGGUGUGCGCGGAUUCGACCCCGUGCGUGCCGGAGCUAACGCGUUAAACGUGCCGCCUGAGGAGUACGGUCGCAAGAUUAAAACUCAAAGAAAUUGACGGGGGCCCGCACAA
rnacentral:rRNA from 1 species